rnacentral:rRNA from 1 species
UACGGAGGGUGCGAGCGUUGUCCGGAAUCAUUGGGCGUAAAGGGCGCGUAGGUGGCCUGUGGAAGUCUGCGGUGAAAGCCCGGCGCUCAACGCCGGGUCGGCCGUGGAUACUCUCGGGCUUGAGCUUACUAGAGGCAGAUGGAAUUCCGGGUGUAGCGGUGGAAUGCGUAGAGAUCCGGAAGAACACCGGUGCGAAGGCGGCAUCCUGGACCGGCAUUGACGCUGAUGAGCGAAAGCCAGGG